AUUUCUUGUAAAAAGUGCAACAUUUUUCUGAAACAGUACAACUUCAUCAUAUUUUUCUUCUCUCUGUUUUUUCAUUUUUCUUGUAGAAAAAAUAUUUUUCUUUCUAUUUUAUUUUUUAUUUUCUACAUUUUUUUUCUCGGCUUCGCUCUCAACCGUACUCACUUCGAGUACUCCUUCUCCAGCACCGGUGUCAGUGCUUGCACCGGCAAAGGCAGAGAAAGAGAAUGCGAUACUGUUCUCGUUACCAUCGUGAAAGGUUGAAGAGGACGUGACGCCGUCCUCUUUACUGUAGUAAAGAACUAGGAAGACGGUGGAAGAGGGUCGGAGGGAAAAAGAAAAGAAGGUCACGGCAUGACCUCGGCGGGAUCGGAGGAGAGGAAGGCAGAGAGAGGGUGCUCAAACGAGAGCGAGGGCACGCAAAACAGUGGCAAGGUGGAUUGCCUCCACCUCUGCUGCCCUUUUCAUAGAGAAAGAAAAUUAAAGAAAGAACAAAAGAACAAAAAAAACGAAGAGAGAGAAAAGUUUUUUUUUUGAGAGAGAGAGAUAGAUAAUACGCUACCCUCUUCAUUUAUUUCAUUUAGAAAUAAAUUUAGCUAGAAAUGUGAAUCAACUAGAAUUCGAACUUGGGUCUCGAGUACCAAUCACCAAGCCCUUUACCACUUGCUCUAGGGACGGUCGGUAGGGAGAGAAAAGUUAGUUAGAAUAUUUUGAGUAUUUUAUACAAAUU
rnacentral:lncRNA from 1 species